CCCACCGGUUUUCUGCUCUCCCUCCCGAAACCCCCCCGAGCCGCUCCCGUCUCUCCCAUCGCGCAAACAACUCUAGGGUUCCUUGAGCCGCCGCCGCACCGGAGCUCCUCGACCAGCCCUACCUCAUGCCGCUCCACCCACUGCUUCUCCCUCCGCCCGCGCCGCUCUCUUCCCCGCCGGCGCUGCCCACCACGAGCGGGGAGGCCCCAGAUCGUCUCGAGCAAGUCAGCGGGGCGGUGGCCAGAUCCACCACGGCAACAUCUCGUCCAGAUGGGCCGCACCGGGAGAGGUAGAUCGAGGCGGCGGGCAUCGUGUGCGUCUUGUCUCUUGGGACGCCGCUCCGACCCGAUCCGGCGAGGAGGCAGCCUCCGUCUGCGGCAACGAGGGCGGCGGCCGGCUGCGCGAGAGGAUGAUCUGAUUGUGCCUCCAUGACGGCAUCGUGAUGCCCACCGCCGACGGCGCUGCGUCGCGACCAAAGGGGCACCCGGCCACGGCCGGGGACUCACUGCAGUUGAAGCACGCCAUCUCGCCACCAUGUAUGUUGUGUGUUCUUGUGCUGCAGGUCCUUGGGGUUGGGUGUUCUUGUCGCCACCAUGUUCAUGCAGACACGAAUUGGACUGAGAAAUGCUAACAGAGGAGGAGAAGACCAUGCAAGUACAUAUGUGCCAAAAUUGAUAGAUUUAACUCUAGGUCCUUGGGGUUGGGUGCGGCAACUCGCGGCUCGAAGACAAUCUUUUGUGGUGGGGCGUCGCUGCCGCCGGCGGCACCUGCACAGACCGUCUCGCUGGGAACGAAGAGAUGCUCCCCUGAUUUGGAGCUGUAGAAAGGAGGUGGUUGCAGACGCAAAGUGGGGACACACAACUCCCAGUCAUAAUAUUCUUUAUCUUGGAUCGUUGUUUGGGGAUGGACGCAUCAAUCUGAUCGCGCUCUCCUCCAUGCCAAACGGAUCCUUGGUUCGGAGGUGCGCGGCGCCGACGAUGACAACCUUUCUAUCGACGCAAGGGCAGCAGGAGCUCAUGACGCUGUUGAUGCCACCACCAUGCACAGGGUUGAUGCAAGGUGGGACAAUGCGAUCACUAAUGGGGAGAACAUAAAACUUCAAUUGAGGGCAUUGUGAUUCUCUAGCUACAUGUAUCAUAGCUUCUGCAGGAGGGCGU